UGCAGUUAAAACUUACAAUGCUGAAAAGGGGAGGGUUAACAAAGUGCCUAAGUUAAAAUUACUUCCGGGCGCACCUAAGCAGCCGGGUGGAGUUGAGUGUGGCUAUUAUGUUAUGCGGUACAUGAAGGAUAUUAUUAAUGAUGACACGCUUUCGUUUUCAACCAAGUGGGCGGUAAAGGAUCGGAAAGGGUAUACCCAACAACAACUUGACGAGGUUCGCAUUGAAGUAGCCGACUACUUACAGACUCUGCUGUAGGUUCUGACCAGUUUCUUGAUUUUGAGUUAGACUAGCUUUUAAUUAACUUUUUUGUAGCAAUUAUGAACAA